UACGUAGGUGACAAGCGUUGUCCGGAUUUACUGGGCGUAAAGGGUGCGUAGGCGGGUCUUUUAAGUCAGGGGUGAAAUCCUGGAGCUCAACUCCAGAACUGCCUUUGAUACUGAAGAUCUUGAGUUCGGGAGAGGUGAGUGGAACUGCGAGUGUAGAGGUGAAAAUUCGUAGAUAUUCGCAAGAACACCAGUGGCGAAGGCGGCUCACUGGCCCGAUACUGACGCUGAGGCACGAAAAGCGUGGGGAGCAAAGCAGGGAUUA
rnacentral:rRNA from 1 species